rnacentral:siRNA from 1 species
ACCGGCCCACCGAGAGUGGUGAUC